AAAGGAAUAGACGGGGGCCCGCACAAGCGGCGGAGCAUGCGGAUUAAUUCGAUGCAACGCGAAGAACCUUACCAAGGCUUGACAUACACUGGAAUCGGCUAGAGAUAGUCGCGUCUUCGGACUGGUGUACAGGUGGUGCAUGGUUGUCGUCAGCUCGUGUCGUGAGAUGUUGGGUUAAGUCCCGCAACGAGCGCAACCCUUGUCUCAUGUUGCCAGCACGUUAUGGUGGGGACUCAUGGGAGACUGCCGGGGUCAACUCGGAGGAAGGUGGGGAUGACGUCAAAUCAUCAUGCCCCUUAUGUCUUGGGCUUCACGCAUGCUACAAUGGCCGGUACAACGAGUUGCGAGACCGUGAGGUUGAGCGAAUCUCUAAAAGCCGGUCUCAGUUCGGAUUGGGGUCUGCAACUCGACCCCAUGAAGUCGGAGUCGCUAGUAAUCGCAGAUCAGCAACGCUGCGGUGAAUACGUUCCCGGGCCUUGUACACACCGCCCGU
rnacentral:rRNA from 1 species